CCGCGCCCAAAAGGUGUUCGAUG
rnacentral:siRNA from 1 species